UGGUCUGCUGUAGGGGAAACUGGUGCAAACAUUUACAAAAGAGGUGAUUUCAAAGAAUCGCAGAUGGCAGAUCUUGAUGUCUAUUUGUUGAAGAAGGUUGGACUCUUUCCGGAUAUUCUAGAAAGGAAAGCAUCACGCCACCUAGAAAAAGGAGAUCAUGUUUCCGCUCUUAUUACUGGAGAAUUCUAUACGAGAGAUCAAUUUCCUG